GCGGGCUCCCACUGCCGCCCCGACCGCGCAGCCCCCUCGUCGGGAGCCGACCUGGUCCAGGCUUGUCCUUCGGGCAGUGGGGAACCUUUGCGGACGGACAGCUGUGAUGAGGCUUGGAGGGCAGAAACAGCACCGAGGCCCAGCAGGACAGUGUAAGGAAGACCUUUUGAACAGCCUGAGGAGAGGCAGAGGUGACCCGUGCUUGGGGCAAUGGAUUGCACCAGGUACCCUGAAGGGUUCCUCAAACUCCUAGAGUCCUCAACCUUAACAAAGAAAACACACUCUUUCAGGUGGUGAUUCAUGAGCAAUCUGCAAUCUGCAGAAAUGCAACAUUUUCCCUGCCUUUGUUUCUGAGAUCUACUCUCUACUUGGCUCUAUAAUUCAAGAAGUUGAGCUAAAUGCAUUACAUCUACUUGACAACUAAUAGAAAUAGAAAUUUGGCCAACAGAAGGUGC